AUUUGGUUUAGUUAUUUUGUUGUGAUGUUUGAAUUAUUUCGGAGUAAUCUAAGAAUAAUGCUCAUAUAUUGGGAUGUGUUUUGUGGCUAUGAUUGAGUAGCUUUUCAUGCAUUUGGAGUAAUGGGUGUUGCAGUCCCCACAAUCAGCUGGUUUUGUGGGGUUUUAAAUUUAGAGGGAUUUUGGGUGGGUGUGUCCAAUGCUGUCCCUAUGAACUGGUUCAAAAAAUUGAGUUGGGUGUGAAGAAGGUUGUGCAGGGCCAUUACAAGAUUAGCAUGCACACCUGUAUGAUAUUUUUAGCUGGCGGAUUGAUGUGCUGUUCAUGGAAAGUUUUGUUUUUACAUCUGAAGUUGAAUUGCCAAUUUUAAUCCCCAUCAACUUGGUCAUGGCUAUGAAAGCCACAUGACCAAAAGAAACAAGUCUUAUUAUUUUACAUUUUAACCCUUUUUUUUAUAGUUAACUUGAUUAGAAACCACUCGUCUGGAGUCCAUACAAACUUUGAGUUUGUGAAAUCUGGCUACCUCCCUCUUCUUGUCCAUUAUUACCUGCAGAAAAAUUAUUGACUUGGAUGAGUCAGUUGUUGGUUCUUUCCUUUUCUUUAAAUGUUAUUCUAUUGAUGGUUCCCUAGUUGUGAAAUCAUGGUUUAUUAUUGUCACCCUACCUUUUUCCCCUUGAAAAUGGAGUUAUUGGCAUGGAAUAAAAACUGGACCCCUUAAAAGAUCAUUUUUCUUUAUGCAUAUAUAGUUGUAAAAUUUUAUUUGUAACACUUUUAGAAGAGAGGCUUCAGGUUUGAUUUUUCUAAUGGCAGUUGCAUUCUGAUGAAAGUUAAAACCAGUUUUCAAGAGUUUCUUAUUAUUUAGAAGCUUUAAGUUUUCCAUUCUUAAUUAUGAGUACCCGUUAGAUGUCUAACCAUUUUUGUUUGGGUUUCACACAAACUUAGAGUUUGCAUGCACAUGUUGGAAUUUGAAC